rnacentral:RNase_P_RNA from 1 species
CAAGCGGGCCGGAUGGUCGCGCCCUUUUUAUAAGGGUGAGGAAAGUCCGGGCUCCACAGGGCAGGAUGCUGGGUAACGCCCAGGCGGGGUGACCCGACGGAAAGUGCCACAGAGAACAGACCGCCAGCGGACAAAACACACGUUUUGUUGCGGGCAAGGGUGAAACGGUGGGGUAAGAGCCCACCGCGCCUCCCGGCAACGGGGGCGGCACGGCAAACCCCAUCCGGAGCAAGGCCGAAUAGGAGCGGAGAGGUGACCCGCCUCGCUUAAACGCUCGGGUAGGCCGCACGAGGUAUCGGGUAACCGAUGUCCCAGAUAAAUGACCAUCCGUCUGGCAAAUACCAGGCGACAGAACCCGGCUUACAGGCCCGCUUGCCUG